CCUACGGGUGGCAGCAGUGAGGAAUAUUGGUCAAUGGCCGUGAGCCUGAACCAGCCAAGUCGCGUGAGGGAAGACGGCCCUACGGGUUGUAAACCUCUUUUGUCAGGGAGCAAAGUGCAGGUCGUGUCCUGCUGUGAGAGUACCUGAUGAAAAAGCAUCGGCUAACUCCGUGCCAGCAGCCGCGGUAAUACGGAGGAUGCGAGCGUUAUCCGGCUUUAUUGGGUUUAAAGGGUGCGUAGGCGGAGGCACAAGUCAGCGGUAAAAUCGCGGGGCUCAACCCCGAUCCGCCGUUGAAAAUGGGUGCCUUGAGUGCGCGAAGGGUAGGCGGAAUGCGUGGUGUAGCGGUGAAAUGCAUAGAUAUCACGCAGAACUCCGAUCGCGAAGGCAGCCUACCGGCGCGCAACUGACGCUCAUGCACGAAAGCGUGGGUAUCGAACAGGAUUAGAUACCCCUGUAGUC
rnacentral:rRNA from 1 species